UGCCAUACUGCUCAAACUUAAUUUGUAUUUAAAAAAAUUAGGUUUGGUAGUAUUUGGCGAA
rnacentral:pre_miRNA from 1 species